rnacentral:rRNA from 1 species
AGGUAAGCUACUAAGAGCGAAUGGUGGAUGCCUUGACUGGUAAAGGCGAUGAAGGACGUACUAGACUGCGAUAAGCUACGGGGAGCUGUCAAGAAGCUUUGAUCCGUAGAUUUCCGAAUGGGGCAACCCAAUGUAUAGAGAUAUACAUUACCUAUAUAGGAGCGAACGAGGGGAAUUGAAACAUCUUAGUACCCUCAGGAAAAGAAAUCAAUAGAGAUUGCGUCAGUAGCGGCGAGCGAAAGCGCAAGAGGGCAAACCCAGUGCUUGCACUGGGGGUUGUAGGACUGCAAUGUGCAAGAGCUGAGUUUAGCAGAACAUUCUGGAAAGUAUAGCCAUAGAGGGUGAUAGUCCCGUAUGUGAAAAACAAAGCUUAGCUAGCAGUAUCCUGAGUAGGGCGGGACACGAGGAAUCCUGUCUGAAUCCGGGUCGACCACGAUCCAACCCUAAAUACUAAUACCAGAUCGAUAGUGCACAAGUACCGUGAGGGAAAGGUGAAAAGAACUGAGGUGAUCAGAGUGAAAUAGAACCUGAAACCAUUUGCUUACAAUCAUUCAGAGCACUAUGUAGCAAUACAGUGUGAUGGACUGCCUUUUGCAUAAUGAGCCUGCGAGUUGUGGUGUCUGGCAAGGUUAAGCAAACGCGAAGCCGUAGCGAAAGCGAGUCUGAAUAGGGCGCUUAGUCAGAUGCUGCAGACCCGAAACGAAGUGAUCUAUCCAUGAGCAAGUUGAAGCUAGUGUAAGAACUAGUGGAGGACUGAACCCAUAGGCGUUGAAAAGCCCCGGGAUGACUUGUGGAUAGGGGUGAAAGGCCAAUCAAACUUCGUGAUAGCUGGUUCUCUCCGAAAUAUAUUUAGGUAUAGCGUUGUGUCGUAAUAUAAGGGGGUAGAGCACUGAAUGGGCUAGGGCAUACACCAAUGUACCAAACCCUAUCAAACUCCGAAUACCUUAUAUGUAAUCACAGCAGUCAGGCGGCGAGUGAUAAAAUCCGUCGUCAAGAGGGAAACAACCCAGACUACCAGCUAAGGUCCCUAAAUCUUACUUAAGUGGAAAACGAUGUGAAGUUACUUAAACAACCAGGAGGUUGGCUUAGAAGCAGCCAUCCUUUAAAGAAAGCGUAAUAGCUCACUGGUCUAGUGAUUUUGCGCGGAAAAUAUAACGGGGCUAAAGUAAGUACCGAAGCUGUAGACUUAGUUUACUAAGUGGUAGGAGAGCGUUCUAUUUGCGUCGAAGGUAUACCGGUAAGGAGUGCUGGAGCGAAUAGAAGUGAGCAUGCAGGCAUGAGUAGCGAUAAUUAAUGUGAGAAUCAUUAACGCCGUAAACCCAAGGUUUCCUACGCGAUGCUCGUCAUCGUAGGGUUAGUCGGGUCCUAAGUCGAGUCCGAAAGGGGUAGACGAUGGCAAAUUGGUUAAUAUUCCAAUACCAACAUUAGUGUGCGAUGGAAGGACGCUUAGGGCUAAGGGGGCUAGCGGAUGGAAGUGCUAGUCUAAGGUCGUAGGAGGUUAUACAGGAAAAUCCGUAUAACAAUACUCCGAGAACUGAAAGGC